rnacentral:rRNA from 1 species
AUUGAACGCUGGCGGCAGGCCUAACACAUGCAAGUCGAGCGGAUGAAGGGAGCUUGCUCCUGGAUUCAGCGGCGGACGGGUGAGUAAUGCCUAGGAAUCUGCCUGGUAGUGGGGGAUAACGUCCGGAAACGGGCGCUAAUACCGCAUACGUCCUGAGGGAGAAAGUGGGGGAUCUUCGGACCUCACGCUAUCAGAUGAGCCUAGGUCGGAUUAGCUAGUUGGUGGGGUAAAGGCCUACCAAGGCGACGAUCCGUAACUGGUCUGAGAGGAUGAUCAGUCACACUGGAACUGAGACACGGUCCAGACUCCUACGGGAGGCAGCAGUGGGGAAUAUUGGACAAUGGGCGAAAGCCUGAGCCAGCCAUGCCGCGUGUGUGAAGAAGGUCUUCGGAUUGUAAAGCACUUUAAGUUGGGAGGAAGGGCAGUAAGUUUAUACCUUGCUGUUUUGACGUUACCAACAGAAUAAGCACCGGCUAACUUCGUG